rnacentral:rRNA from 1 species
UACGUAGGCAGCGAGCGUUGUUCGGAGUUACUGGGCGUAAAGGGUGCGCAGGCGGUGGAGCAAGUCUGUUGUGAAAUCUCCCGGCUUAACCGGGAGGGUGCGGCGGAAACUGUUCUGCUGGAGUGAGGGAGAGGCAAGCGGAAUUCCUGGUGUAGCGGUGAAAUGCGUAGAUAUCAGGAGGAACACCCGUGGUGCAGACGGCUCACUGGCCCGGUACUGACGCUGAGGUGCGAAAGCGUGGGGAGCAAACAGG